AUUGAACGCUGGCGGCAUGCCUUACACAUGCAAGUCGAACGGCAGCACGGGAGCAAUCCUGGUGGCGAGUGGCGAACGGGUGAGUAAUAUAUCGGAACGUGCCCAGUCGUGGGGGAUAACGCAGCGAAAGCUGUGCUAAUAUCGCAUACGAUCUCUGGAUGAAAGCGGGGGACCUGCAAGGGCCUCGCGCGAUUGGAGCGGCCGAUAUCAGAUUAGCUAGUUGGUGGGGUAAAAGCUCACCAAGGCGACGAUCUGUAGCUGGUCUGAGAGGACGACCAGCCACACUGGAACUGAGACACGGUCCAGACUCCUACGGGAGGCAGCAGUGGGGAAUUUUGGACAAUGGGCGCAAGCCUGAUCCAGCAAUGCCGCGUGCAGGAUGAAGGCUUCGGGUUGUAAACGUAGUCUUUGUACGGUAG
rnacentral:rRNA from 1 species